rnacentral:rRNA from 1 species
GAUGAACGCUGGCGGCGUGCCUAAUACAUGCGAGUCGAGCGAACAGACGAGGAGCUUGCUCCUCUGACGUUAGCGGCGGACGGGUGAGUAACACGUGGAUAACCUACCUAUAAGACUGGGAUAACUUCGGGAAACCGGAGCUAAUACCGGAUAAUAUAUUGAACCGCAUGGUUCAAUAGUGAAAGACGGUUUUGCUGUCACUUAUAGAUGGAUCCGCGCCGCAUUAGCUAGUUGGUAAGGUAACGGCUUACCAAGGCAACGAUGCGUAGCCGACCUGAGAGCGGGAGCGGCAAGAAUGGAACUGAGACACGGUCUAGACUACUACGGGAGGCAGCAGUGGGGAAUCUGCCGAGAUGGGCUAAAGACUGACGGAGCAAAUCAGCGGGAAAGAUGAAGGUAUUCGGAUCGUAAAACUCUGUUAUUGGUGAAGAACCAAAGUGUAAGGAACUAUGCAGGUCCAGAAGGUACCGAAACAGAAAGGAACGGCUAACUACGUG